rnacentral:rRNA from 1 species
UACGGGGGGGGCAAGCGUUGUUCGGAAUUACUGGGCGUAAAGGGCUCGUAGGCGGCCAACUAAGUCGGACGUGAAAUCCCCAGGCUCAACCUGGGAACUGCGUCCGAUACUGGAUGGCUUGAAUCCGGGAGAGGGAUGCAGAAUUCCAGGUGUAGCGGUGAAAUGCGUAGAUAUCUGGAGGAAUACCGGUGGCGAAGGCGGCCUGCUGGGCUAUGGCUGACACUGAGGCGCGACAGCGUGGGGAGCAAACAGG